rnacentral:rRNA from 1 species
GCGUGCAGUGAAGAUGGUUUUCAGAUCGUAAAGCUCUGUUGUUGGUGAAGAAGGAUAGAGGUAGUAACUGGCCUUUAUUUGACGGUAAUCAACCAGAAAGUCACGGCUAACUACGUGCCAGCAGCCGCGGUAAU